GUUGUCGUGGCCGAGUGGUUAAGGCGACAGACUAGAAAUCUUUCUGCGCAGGUUCGAAUCCUGCCGACCACG